rnacentral:rRNA from 1 species
CACGGGGGGAGCAAGCGUUGUUCGGAAUCACUGGGCGUAAAGGGCGUGUAGGCGGUCAGGUAAGUGGGACGUGAAAUCCCUCGGCUCACCCGAGGACCUGCGUCCCAAACUGCUUGACUUGAGUAUGGGAGAGGAUGAGGGAAUUCCUGGUGUAGCGGUGAAAUGCGUAGAUAUCAGGAGGAACACCGGUGGCGAAGGCGCUCAUCUGGCCCAAUACUGACGCUGAGGUGCGAAAGCGUGGGGAGCAAACAGG